CUAGGUUUGCCUGUCCCCCGGAAGGGGUGGGGUGUUCAUGUCUCCCAGAGGAGGCGGAGUCGAAACGUCAUCUUACGGGGUGCAGGACAAUAGACAGAACUCAAAGUCAUCCCUCUGCUCACCUGAGACAAAUGUGUAUCUGAUUGCUGCUUCUGCCCUAUUGUUUAUGCAAAAAUGCAGAUCCACUGAGCCAGACUAAGGCAUCAGUGUGACUAUUCCUUUACUCCCCACUCCAUGUAAAUUGUGUAUUCAGUGAAAGGCUGAUCAAAGACCCCAAAAAAUGCAGCCUUUUGUCUCUUAUCUACCUAUGACCUGGAAGCCCCCACUUCGAGUUGUCCCGCCUUUCCAGACUGAACCAGUGUACACCUUACACGUAUUGAUUGAUGUCUCAUGUCUCCCCAAAAUGUAUAAAACCAAGCUGUGCACCGACCACCUUUAGCAUGUGUUGUCAGAACCUCCUGAGGCUGUAUCAUGUCAUGAGUGUGUGCUCAACCUUGGCAAAAUAAACUUUCUAAAUUGA
rnacentral:lncRNA from 1 species